CUUGUGCAAACUUUCAGGCCCAAAGCUCUCACAGGAACGAGCCCAGAAUAAACAGGACAAGAGGGUCAAUAUCAGUCAGGUAUGUUAAAAUUUAUUAUUUUAAAAGAACACAAAGGGUUUGCAAAAGGCCUAAAACAUCAAAAUGGUAAAGGUCACUAACGACCACAAGAUAGUGUUAUUGGUGCAACCUGCCAGCAAUGCAACUAUCACCUGAGGGCUUGCUCUCCCUUGGCGGUCCCAGAUGCUCGUUGCUUUAAAAGAAACAAAUCCACCCCAAAUAAAUACGAGCCCAACAGAACACUUAUCGCAUGCACUAAGUGCUAGUUCAGGCAAUAAUCAGUGGCACUAAAAAUCACUCUUAAUAAAAACUUAUUCACUGCAAAUCCACACAGAGCACCUCUAAAGAUCCUAAUUCCCCUAAGGUAAGAGCCCCACUCAGGGAUUGCACAUUGCCCGACUAAUAUUGCACCAGCCCAGUAGAAAUAAAAACAAACCCGGCAUAAAAAAAAACAGUUUUAAAAGGUGACCCUACCAAAACCAAAAACACAACAACAAGGAGAAGGAGGAGAAAACAGUGACAAAUUCACAUGUGCAGCCUGCCCUCCAGCAGACAACUGUGUUUGCUGCACACCUGGCUUAUCUUGGCUUAUCUUGUAAAAAUCACUACUAAAACAUAAAAUACAAUAAACAUCAAAUACAUUUCAACAAAUUUAAAAAAAAACACUAAAAGAAAAACAGCCUGUACCUCAAACCUCUGCUGUAGAGGUUUAAAACAACUGUUUGUGUAGCAGACAAUUAAAACUUCUCAGGCUCUUCACCUACUCACACAACCAUUGUUCACAGCCGCUCGUCAGUGGAAAUGAAGAGCACCUGCUGCUACUUCCUCUUUUAUACCCUCCAUUGGGUCCCCUGGGUCCUAAAGACUUCCCCAUUACACAAAGACAAGAAGGAAAAAGCAUGCGUGCAAGUGGGAUCUCUGGGAUUCUAGAGUCCUAAAAUACAGAAAGUUAAUGAUGUAGUGUAUUUUAACUAAAAUCAUCUCUCCCUAACCUUAACCAGCUGAGGUACUUAAACCCAGCCAAG
ensembl:lncRNA